rnacentral:rRNA from 1 species
CAGUCGCCGCGGUAAUACGAGGGGGGCAAGCGUUGUUCGGAAUUAUUGGGCGUAAAGGGUGCGUAGGCGGUUUGAUAAGUCUGUUGUGAAAGCCCCGGGCUCAACCUGGGAAUGGCAAUGGAUACUGGCGAGCUAGAGUGUGUCAGAGGAUGGUGGAAUUCCCGGUGUAGCAGUGAAAUGCGUAGAGAUCGGAAGGAACAUCUGUGGCGAAGGCGGCUAUCUGGGCCAACACUGACACUGAGGCACGAAAGCGUGGGGAGCAAACAGGAUUAGAUACCCCAGUAGUCCCUGUCUCUUAUAC